rnacentral:rRNA from 1 species
CUUCGUGACAUGGCGGACUGCUCAGUAACACGUGGACAACCUACCCUCGGGUCCGGCAUAAUCCUGGGAAACUGGGGAUAAUUCCGGAUAGGUCACCGAUGCUGGAAUGCACUGUGGCCCAAAGCUCCGGCGCCCGAGGAUGGGUCUGCGGCCUAUCAGGGUUGUAGUGGGUGUAACGUACCUACUAGCCUACGACGGGUACGGGUUGUGAGAGCAAGAGCCCGGAGAUGGAUUCUGAGACACGAAUCCAGGCCCUACGAGGUGCAGCAGGCGCGAAAACUUUACAAUGCGGGAAACCGUGAUAAGGGAAUCUCGAGUGCCAGCAUAUAAUGUUGGCUGUCCAGAUGCCUAAAAAGCAUCUGUUAGCAAGGGCCGGGCAAGACCGGUGCCAGCCGCCGCGGUAACACCGGCGGCCCGAGUGGUAACCGCUUUUAUUGGGUCUAAAGGGUCUGUAGCCGGCCAGGUAAGUCCCUUGGGAGAUCUGGCAGCUCAACUGUCAGGCUGCUAGGGGAUACUGUUUGGCUUGGGACCGGGAGAGGUGAGAGGUACCUUGGGGGUAGGGGGUGAAAUCUUGUGAUCCUCGGGGGACCACCAGUGGCGAAGGCGUCUCACCAGAACGGGUCCGACGGUAAGGGACGAAAGCUAGGGGCACGAACCGGAUUAGAUACCCGGGUAGUCCUAGCCGUAAACGAUGCUCGCUAGGUGUCAGUCACGGUGCGACCGUGAUUGGUGCCGUAGGGAAGCCGUGAAGCGAGCCACCUGGGAAGUAUGGCCGCAAGGCUGAAACUUAA